UGAUUUCCACAGCUAAUCCCUAUAGUAAC
rnacentral:piRNA from 1 species